rnacentral:sRNA from 1 species
CCAGAGUCGCGCGGCGGGGCGUAUACCCGGCACCGCCCCUUCGCCGGAUGGAGGCCUCGGUCGCAAGACCGGGGCCUCUUUCGUUG